rnacentral:misc_RNA from 1 species
GAUGAAGAACGCAGCGAAAUGCGAUAAGUAAUGUGAAUUGCAGAAUUCAGUGAAUCAUCGAAUCUUUGAACGCACAUUGCGCCCCCUGGUAUUCCGGGGGGCAUGCCUGUCCGAGCGUCAUUACAACCCUCAAGCUCAGCUUGGUAUUGGGCCCCGCCGACCCGGCGGGCCCUAAAGUCAGUGGCGGUGCCGUCCGGCUCCGAGCGUAGUAAUUCUUCUCGCUCUGGAGGUCCGGUCGUGUGCUCGCCAGCAACCCCCCAUUUUUUUCUGGUUGACCUCGGAUCAGGUAGGGAUACCCGCUGAACUUAAGCAUAUCAAUAAGCGGAGGA